GAUGAACGCUGGCUACAGGCUUAACACAUGCAAGUCGAGGGGAAACGACGGGGAAGUUGGCUUCCCCGGGCGUCGACCGGCCCCCGGGGGGUUAACGCUUAUCCAACCUGCCCCUAAUUAGGGGUUAACCCUCCGAAAUCCGCCCUAAUACCCCUGGGUACCUCUGGCGGGCUUCCAACACCGUUAAAAGAUUUCUUCGGUCGGGAUGGGGGAUGCGUCUGAUUAGCUUGUUGGCGGGGUAACGGCCCACCAAGGCUACGAUCAGUAGGGGUUCUGAGAGGAAGGUCCCCCACAUUGGAACUGAGACACGGUCCAAACUCCUACGGGAGGCAGCAGUGAGGAAGAUUGGUCAAUGGGCGAGAGCCUGAACCAGCCAAGUAGCGUGCAGGAAGACGGCCCUAUGGGUUGUAAACUGCUUUUAUGCGGGGAUAAAGUGAGGGACGUGUCCCUCAUUGCAGGUACCGCAUGAAUAAGGACCGGCUAAUUCCGUG
rnacentral:rRNA from 1 species